ensembl:lncRNA
CAUCAGAUUUUCUGUUUAUUUUCAAGCCUUCCCAUUGCAUGAAACAUAGUACUGGGCACUGAGUCAGGACUCAGUUAUACUUGUGAGCCCAUGGAGAGGGGCAGACAGCACUGUCCUCAUAGCAGAGAGAGAGAAGCUGAGGUACAGAGGGGUACCUCAGAAGCUCUAGAUGUCUUGGGAUUUUGCUAAAAAUGUAUCUUGACAGGAAGCAACACAAGUAGGUUGAGACGAAGAAGGUAGAGUAACAGCGUUGAGUAGCUAUUUGAACAGGUCCUCAACACAAGAGGGAGGUAGUUUGGUCAGUUAGAGUUCAGGAGGCCACCCCUGGACAGGUCUGGGAACACUGUGGUCUUGCCUCUUACCUCAGAUAUCUUGAGCCUCAGCUCGCUCAGAAUCAGGGUGCUGUAGUUGUCUGUUUUCUGGCUCUGAGGCCCUAGCCUCAAAUUUAAGUCAAGAUAUAGACUGAAUUUCCAUUCUGUUCCAUUUAUACUAUGAAUGAUAUUAAUACUCAUGUUUGCCUAAUGAUAUGUUGGAAUAUUCUCUCUAUUUAAUCUGCAUUAGAGCAGGAUGGGGAGCCAUCUGGCAGUAACUUUUCCUUCUGUCUUUCUUUGUUCACUUACCACUUGUGCCCAAGAAAAACUUUAAAAGAAAAGGAAGUCUUCCUAGGGAUCUAGUUCAAAGCUGUCUGGGAACAUCAACCUGAAACAGCCCUCCACACUCCUCUAGGCCUUUCACCUCCGUCCAAGUAGGGGACCCCAGAGGAGGCUAGAGCAAAAGGGAAAUGCGUCUCUACGCGAUGGGUCCAAGGUCAGUGCCACCAAAGCAAGCUGGGACUAGGUCUCCCACCUCUCAGCUCUUCUGUCUGAGGUGAAACAUCAGAUCCGUUGAGGAUGGACCUUGGGAAGACCUGUGAAUUCCCGUGAGACCUCGCCUCUGGGGAGAUCAUGAAAGCCCUGGGCUCUGGAGUUCUAUAGCCUGGUUUUGAGUCCUGCCUCCACCACUACUAACUGGGACUGUACCGUGGAGGCCUUCUAGUGGUGUGUUGUGAAGUUUCUGAGCAUGGGAUGGUGCGUCAGUUAGGAAGGAAGCUGUCGGGGUAUGAGGGAUGAAAUUUCAUCACAGAUUGAAUCAUAAUGUCAAACUCUCCAGCAAUUUCUGUAUGAUGUGCAUUGAGAUUCAGUGACAUCCUCAGCACUCUUGAGAAAUGGGUUGGGGGAAAGGACCGCGCGUCACUGACUGGGCCAGGUGCUCUGUGGAUUUGAUAGAUGAGGAAAGCAGUUCAGGGAUUAAGAACGUCGUCUUUGGAAAUCAGACAACUCCAACACUGUUAGCCCUGUGAUUUUGUGCUAAUUUAUCAACUUCUGUGAGCUUCAGUUUUCUCAUUUAUAAAAUGGGCGGUCUAAUAGUAUUUACCUCUUAGGGUUAUUGUAAUAAUUAAAUGAAAUAAUGCCUGUAAAGUGCUCAUCACAGUGUCUGUACUAUCCUAAGGGUGUAAUAAAGAUUAGCUAUCACUAUGUGGUUUAUUGGGUUCUCCUUACAUACCUGUAAGGUUAGGUAUAAUUUGCCCUUGUACUGAAUGGACACGGAUGGUCUUGGUCUAAAUUCUUAUUCCAGCUUCUCCAGUUUCACGGUUACCUCCCUCACAGAAGCCUGCUAAGUGCCACUCAACUGCUGCCGUUGUGUGAGGCUGGAACUAGAAUAAGGGAGACAGUUUUUCCCCUCUCUUUGCUCUGAUUUCCCUGCUCCUCACAUCAAAAAUCAAGAUCCACACCAUCGUUCCAGCUUUGCAGGCUCUCUUCACCACCAGGAAGAGUCUACAUGUUUAGGUUCUGGUUUGGGUUUUAAUUUCACGCCUGAUCAUCCAAACGCACAUGUCUGUGCACCAAAUGGAAACCGAAGGUCCUGACGUGUUAAACGGGAGGAUCGGAGAUGUCCGUGUAGAGGUUGGGCGAAGGGAAAGAGGACCUGGGGAUGGGGAGUUUGUAGUAGAGACUAGUUGUGUUCAUUUUUGUCUGCUGCCUUUGAGGUGGGAGUGAGGGGUUAAAGUACCCUGUGACCUCGGGAGAAGCUCCUCAGGGCUGAGGGCGGCCUGCGAAUGACCUCUGCACAGCUCUCUCCCUCACUGCCCUGUCCGGUUUCCCACUAGGUCCUCUUGUUUCUUCCCUCUUGGUGAUUCUCACACCCAGCCUGUUCUUUCCAUUUCCAUCAACUCACCCCUAGAAUAAUUUUUACGAUCUCUCAGACUCUAAUCUUUCUUUCCCCUGCUUUCUGCUGCCAGAUCUGCCUAAAAUACCACUUUGGUAUCAAAGUACCUGCCUAGCAAGGUGAUCUAAUGGAAGAAGGACCAAACAUUGUCUGGAGCCCUGGGUUCUUGUCUCAGCUCUCUCACUCUCUCUUGCUCUGUGACCUCCUGUGUAUGCUCUUCCUCUCAUGACUUCAGUUUCUCUGUCUAUAAAUUGGAAUGUUGGGGGCGGGAUUGAAUUGGCUGAUCCCUAAGGCCCCUUCGGUGCUGGCAUUUCACGUCUCGUUCACUGAGUGGUCAAUCUAAGGCCUCCCUUUUUUCUGUAGAAUUGCAUUUCUCCCAC